rnacentral:rRNA from 1 species
AGAACGAACGCUGGCGGCAUGCCUAAUACAUGCAAGUCGAACGAACUCUUCGGAGUUAGUGGCGCACGGGUGCGUAACGCGUGGGAAUCUGCCCCUUGGUUCGGAAUAACAGUUGGAAACGACUGCUAAUACCGGAUGAUGACGAAAGUCCAAAGAUUUAUCGCCAAGGGAUGAGCCCGCGUAGGAUUAGCUAGUUGGUGAGGUAAAGGCUCACCAAGGCAACGAUCCUUAGCUGGUCUGAGAGGAUGAUCAGCCACACUGGGACUGAGACACGGCCCAGACUCCUACGGGAGGCAGCAGUAGGGAAUAUUGGACAAUGGGCGAAAGCCUGAUCCAGCAAUGCCGCGUGAGUGAUGAAGGCCUUAGGGUUGUAAAGCUCUUUUACCCGAGAUGAUAAUGACAGUAUCGGAGAAUAAGCCCCGGAUAACCUCCGUACCAGCAGCCGC